UAAUACGUAGGGUGCAAGCGUUAAUCGGAAUUACUGGGCGUAAAGCGUGCGCAGGCGGUUUGGAAAGAAGGAUGUGAAAUCCCAGGGCUCAACCUUGGAACUGCAUUCUUAACUGCCAAACUAGAGUAUGUCAGAGGGGGGUAGAAUUCCACGUGUAGCAGUGAAAUGCGUAGAGAUGUGGAGGAAUACCGAUGGCGAAGGCAGCCCCCUGGGAUAAUACUGACGCUCAUGCACGAAAGCGUGGGGAGCAAACAGG
rnacentral:rRNA from 1 species